GCCAUUGUGGCGCAGUGGUUUGAGUGUUGAACUAGGACUCUGGAGACCAGGGUUUGAUUCCCAGCUUGGCC
rnacentral:tRNA from 1 species